rnacentral:rRNA from 1 species
CCUACGGGUGGCUGCAGUGAGGAAUAUUGGUCAAUGGGCGCGGGCCUGAACCAGCCAAGUAGCGUGAAGGAUGACUGCCCUACGGGUUGUAAACUUCUUUUAUAAGGGAAUCAAGUGAGGCACGUUUGCCUUUUUGUAUGUACUUUAUGAAUAAGGAUCGGCUAACUCCGUGCCAUCAGCCGCGGUAAUACGGAGGAUCCGAGCGUUAUCCGGAUUUCUUGGGUUUAAAGGGAGCGUAGAUGGGUUGUUAAGUCAGUUGUGAAAGUUUGCGGAUCAACCGUCAAAUUGCAAUUGAUACUGGCAGUCUUGAGUACAGGUGAGGUAGGCGGAAUGCGUGGUGUAGCGGUGAAAUGCUUAGAUAUCACGCAGAACUCCGAUUGCGAAGGCAGCUUACUAAACUGCCACUGACAUUGAUGCUCGAAAGUGUGGGUAUCAAACAGGAUUAGAUACCCGAGUAGUC